GAGAGUUAAACAGUACGUGAAAUUGUUGAAAGGGAAACGAUUGAAGUCAGUCAUACCAACGGGAAAUCAACCUUUUGAGCUUGGUUUCGUGGGUUUUGAAGAGUUUCAAAGCCUUCGGAUUCGCGAGAUUGGGAUCUCUCGGUGUACUUUCUCGUACGGUUAGUCAACAUCGGUUUUGAAUGUCAUAAAAUGACUAGAGGAAUGUAGCUUCGAUCUCGUAUUGAAGUGUUAUAGCCUUUGGUAGAUGUGAUGUUUGAGACCGAGGAUUGCAACGGAUACCCUUCAGGGCUAUUCGUCUGAUCUCUGAUACGUUGCCUUGAUGUUGAAAGCUUGCUUAUGAUGUUAGGGUAUUACGGUCAAAAGGUUAGAACGAAUUACAUUCGUUAAGGAUGUUGACGUAAUGACUUUAAACGA
rnacentral:rRNA from 1 species